AUUGAACGCUGGCGGCAGGCCUAACACAUGCAAGUCGAGCGGAUGACGGGAGCUUGCUCCUUGAUUCAGCGGCGGACGGGUGAGUAAUGCCUAGGAAUCUGCCUGGUAGUGGGGGACAACGUUUCGAAAGGAACGCUAAUACCGCAUACGUCCUACGGGAGAAUGCAGGGGACCUUCGGGCCUUGCGCUAUCAGAUGAGCCUAGGUCGGAUUAGCUAGUAGGUGAGGUAAUGGCUCACCUAGGCGACGAUCCGUAACUGGUCUGAGAGGAUGAUCAGUCACACUGGAACUGAGACAUGGUCCAGACUCCUACGGGAGGCAGCAGUGGGGAAUAUUGGACAAUGGGCGAAAGCCUGAUCCGGCCAUGCCGCGUGUGUGAAGAAGGUCUUCGGAUUGUAAAGCACUUUAAGUUGGGAGGAAGGGCAGUAAGCUAAUACCUUGCUGUUUUGACGUUACCGACAGAAUAAGCACCGGCUAACUCUGUGCCAGCCGCCGCCGUAAUAC
rnacentral:rRNA from 1 species